rnacentral:rRNA from 3 species
UACGGAGGGAGCUAGCGUUGUUCGGAAUUACUGGGCGUAAAGCGCACGUAGGCGGCUACUCAAGUCGGGGGUGAAAGCCCGGGGCUCAACCCCGGAACUGCCCUCGAAACUAGGUAGCUAGAAUCUUGGAGAGGUCAGUGGAAUUCCGAGUGUAGAGGUGAAAUUCGUAGAUAUUCGGAAGAACACCAGUGGCGAAGGCGACUGACUGGACAAGUAUUGACGCUGAGGUGCGAAAGCGUGGGGAGCAAACAGG